GUGGGUCCCAUCCUGGGGGGUGCAGGAGGGAGCUCCAUGUGCCCCUGCUGAUCUGCCCAUCUGAGCCUCAGGGGUCCUGGGCACUGAGAGCUGGGCUGGGCUCAGCGGGGGUAUGCAUUGACAUUGGGGACAGAGAGGGGAUGCUGAAGCGGGUGCUGUCUGGGUGGGGCCUGCCUGAUCGACCCAGCAGGUGCACCCAGCAGCCGGAGGUGCUUCUAGCAGAGUGAACGCCCUGUCCUUAGGGGCAUGUGAGCUGAGGCUGGGGGCCUGGAGCUGCAGGGGGAGGAAUUGGGGAGAGCAGAGGUCCCAAAGAUGUCCCAAGGCCCCAAGACCCUGGUGAAGGAAUGGAGGAGCCAGCAUUGGUCGGCGAGAGGGGAGUGGGAGUUGGAUGGCCUGGCUCUGGGCUGGACACACGGUUUGCAGCCACAGCUGAGCUGUGCUGUGGAGCCCAGUUCCCACCUGGGCAUGUCCUGUCCUCUGAGGCUUCCGGGAGCCGGACGGCCACCGCGGUGCAGGCGCGCACUCAAGGGCUUUCGAGGCUCACUCUGUCGGAGAGGUCAGAGACUGAGUGUCGCUGCUGAAGGCUGUGGUGGACCGGGCUGGAUCGCGGAUUCUAGGUUAGAUCGCAGAUUUGGGAUCGCGGAUUGGGGAUUGGAUUGGGGAUUUGGGGUUGGAUCAGGGAUGUGGGGGCUGGAUAGGGGAUUUGAGGAUUGGAUCGGGGAUUUGGGGUUGGAUCCUGGAUUUGGGGCCGGGUCGGCGGUGGGGGGCAGUGAAAAGGUGACAGAGAGCAGCCCCUGCUCAGGAGCCGGUGGUUGGGGGUCUGAGAAGUCACCACCACCAAGAAGUUCUUCGGCUUCGGGAGCCGCGGGGGCGAGAUGGCCCGGGCUCCAUAGACCACGUCUGCACGGUUCCGGGUACCGAAUCCGGGACGCGGAACAGCGGAAAAUCCAAGGGCGGCUGUCAAGGACCGGAGGUGGAGCGCGGCCUGGAGCGCAGGAGCCGGAGACCUGGAGGCCCGGGACAAGCAGCACAGAACUGCUCUACAUUUGGCCUGUGCCAGCGGCCAUGUGGAAGUGGUCACUCUCCUGGUGAACAGACAAUGCCAAAUUGACAUCUGUGACAAAGAAAAGAGUGUGCCUUUGAUACAGGCACAGGCUGUGCAUUGCCAAGAAGAGGCUUGUGCCAUUAUUCUGCUGGAACGUGGCGCCAAUCCAAACCUUAAGGAUGUCUACAGCAACACUGCUCUCCAGUAUGCUGUGUAUAGUGAGAGCACAUCACUGGCAAAAAAACUGCUUUCCCAUGAUGCAAAUACUGAAGCACUGGACAAGGUUUAUUCCUUUUUUUCCUAAUUAGUGUAAAACAACACAAGAAAGAAAAUAUGCCCUGGAAAUAGGCUUUAUCUUAAAACUCAAACAAGACUAAAGCAACUUAAAAUAAAUGGACAUCUUGCUGCUGCUGACAAUUUUCUAACAAACUGACGUAUCAUCUCUCAGUGGCAAGGCUUAAGAGGGAGAAAUGGGAAGGGAAAAGGAGAGCAAUAAGAAAUAUGCAGGUCAAUUGGAAAUUAGGUCAUGAGGGAAAAUGCCAAGAAGAGUUUUUUUUCUUAGUUUGUUGUUCUUCUAGUUUAUGUGUUGAGACAAGGUGCUCUUUAGCUUUGGGUCUAAUAAUUUUUGGUUUGAAAAUGAGAGUGAGUUGAAACUUGCCUAUGGAUUAAUUUUAGGAGGACUCUGAGGAAACCAGAUUGGCAGUGAAUAUGUGGUGACAAAGUGAGAAACACUUUAGCAGAAGGCGGAACAAAUUAACUUGUGGGAAGUCGGGGUCCCCAAACGGAGGGACCGGCUGAAGCUGUGGCAGAAGAAUAUAAAUUGUGAAGAUUUCAUGGACAUUUAUUAGUUCCCAAAAUUAACACUUUUAUAAUUUAAUACGCCUGUCUUUACUGCAGUCUCUGAACAUAAAUUGUGAGGAUUUCAUGGCCAUUUAUCACUUCCCCAAUCAAUACUCUUAUAAUUUCCUAUGCCUAUCUUUAAUCUCUUAAUCCCAUCAUCUUCGUCAGCUGAGGAUAUAUGUCACCUCAGGACCCUGUGAUGAUUGUGUUAACUGUACAAAUUGUAAAACAUGCGUGUUUGAACAAUAUGAAAUCAGGACACCCUGAAAAAGAACAGAGUAACAGUGAUUUUCAGGGAACAAGGAAAGAUAACCAUAAGGUCUGACUGCCUGUGGGGAUGGGCAAAAUAGAGUCAUAUUUUUCUUCUCACAGAGAGCUUAUAGAUGGACGUGUGAGUAGGAGAAAUAUUGCUGAAUUCUUUUCCCAGCAAGGAAUAUUAAUAAUUGAUAAUCCUGGGGAAGGAAUGCAUUCCCAGGGGUAGGCCUGUAGACGACCACUCUGGGAUUGUCUGUCUUAUGCAGUUGAGAUAAGGGAUGAAAUACACCCUGUUCUCCUGCAGUGUCCUCAGGCUUACUAGGAUUGGGAAAUUCCAGCCUGGUGAACUCUAGUCAGACCGGUUGUCUGCUCUCCAACCCAGUUUCCUUUUAAGAUGUUUAUCAAGACAAUACAUGCCCAGAGGGACAUGGACCCUCAUCAGUAAUUCUAAUUUCACCCUUGCCUUGUGAUCCUGCUCUGCCCUUUUGCCUUGUGAUCUUUUAUUGCCCUUUGAAGCAUGUGAUCUCUGUGACCCACUCCCUAUUCGUACACCCCUCCGCUUUUGAAAUCCCUAAUAAAAACUUGCUGGUUUUGCAGCUCGGGGUCGCCAUCACAGUCCUACCAAUAUGUGAUGACACCCCCGGAGGACCAGCUGU
ensembl:lncRNA novel transcript